GACGAACGCUGGCGGCGUGCUUAACACAUGCAAGUCGAACGGAAAGGCCCUGCUUUUGUGGGGUGCUCGAGUGGCGAACGGGUGAGUAACACGUGAGUAACCUGCCCUUGACUGUGGGAUAACUCCAGGAAACUGGGGCUAAUACCGGAUAGGAGCUCCUGCUGCAUGGUGGGGGCUGGAAAGUGUCGGCGGUUGGGGAUGGGCUCGCGGCUUAUCAGCUUGUUGGUGGGGUAGUGGCUUACCAAGGCUUUGACGGGUAGCCGGCCUGAGAGGGUGACCGGCCACAUUGGGACUGAGAUGCGGCGCAGACUCCUACGGGAGGCAGCAGUGGGGAAUAUUGCACAAUGGGCGGAGGCCUGAUGAAGCAACGCCGCGUGCGGGAUGACGGCCUUCGGGUUGUAGACCGCUUUCGCCUGUGACGAAGCGUGAGUGACGGUAAUGGGUAAAGAAGCACCGGCUAACUACGUG
rnacentral:rRNA from 1 species